rnacentral:lncRNA from 1 species
GGUGCGGCUAAGAAAUUAUGGUCCUAGAGGAGUCCUUGUUCUUCUUUUCUUUUUCUUUUUAUUUUUGUUAUUGUCUGUCUUCUUGUCUUCUGUUUGUAAACAUUUGAAGUAAUGAAAAAUGAGUGUUUAUGUGAAUGUUUAUGCAUACCUUCUCUAUGAUUUUUGUCUCUUCCUAGUAUUCUUCUCCUUUUUUCUUUUAUUAACUUUGAACUCUUUACCUCGGACAUGGGAAUUGUAGUACUACACCACCUUCUGUCG